UAGACAUAAUAUACAUUUUCUUUAAAAAUGUAAAAAUGCAGAUUGGUUUAAGAAACAGAAUAUUUUAGUUUAAUAUAUUUUUUUAAAGGAAUACUGUAGGCCAAGCAUGUCAAACUCGCGGCCCACAAUGAAUAUCUUUGCGGCCCGGCAAGCCGCGUGUUUGUCAUGCUUACUAAAGCAGAGUAGGCACCUACUCGCCCCAUAUUGCAGGUGCCUUCUCAACCAAAAUUAC